rnacentral:misc_RNA from 1 species
GAUGAAGAACGCAGCGAAAUGCGAUACGUAAUGUGAAUUGCAGAAUUCAGUGAAUCAUCGAGUCUUUGAACUCACAUUGCGCCCCCUGGUAUUCCGGGGGGCAUGCCUGUCCGAGCGUCAUUGCUGCCCUCAAGCACGGCUUGUGUGUUGGGCCUCCGUCCUCCUCCCGGGGGACGGGCCCGAAAGGCAGCGGCGGCACCGCGUCCGGUCCUCGAGCGUAUGGGGCUUCGUCACCCGCUCUUGUAGGCCCGGCCGGCGCUUGCCGACACAUCAAUCUUUUUUCCAGGUUGACCUCGGAUCAGGUAGGGAUACCCGCUGAACUUAAGCAUAUCAAUAAGCGGAGGA